rnacentral:rRNA from 1 species
AUUGAACGCUGGCGGCAGGCCUAACACAUGCAAGUCGAACGGUAACAGGAAACAGCUUGCUGUUUCGCUGACGAGUGGCGGACGGGUGAGUAAUGUCUGGGAAACUGCCUGAUGGAGGGGGAUAACUACUGGAAACGGUAGCUAAUACCGCAUAACGUCGCAAGACCAAAGAGGGGGACCUUCGGGCCUCUUGCCAUCGGAUGUGCCCAGAUGGGAUUAGCUAGUAGGUGGGGUAAAGGCUCACCUAGGCGACGAUCCCUAGCUGGUCUGAGAGGAUGACCAGCCACACUGGAACUGAGACACGGUCCAGACUCCUACGGGAGGCAGCAGUGGGGAAUAUUGCACAAUGGGCGCAAGCCUGAUGCAGCCAUGCCGCGUGUAUGAAGAAGGCCUUCGGGUUGUAAAGUACUUUCAGCGGGGAGGAAGGGAGUAAAGUUAAUACCUUUGCUCAUUGACGUUACCCGCAGAAGAAGCACCGGCUAACUCCGUG